UGUCUUUGGAUGUUUUGAAGAAAGACAUUGAAGCUAAUUUUAAAUCAGUGAAAUCUGCCCUCUGUACAAGUGAAGGUUCAAGGCAGGAACCUCUUUUAACUGCACACCUUUUAUCAUGGUUACUGGAUCUAACUCACACAAUCAUUACAACAGUAUCCUCACUCCCUGAAGAGUUAACUGGAGAGAUCAUGCCAGUUUUGUCCUAUUCUUUGUCAUUGUGAUUUUUUGUUGUUGACAUAGCAAAAGGAUUAUUUAUUUGUUGAUAUCACGCAAUACUUUUAUCGAACAUUACAUAAGUGUAUAAUUACCUCUAAAUAUAUAAUCAGGUUAAUAAAAACAUCCAAAGAAUAAGGAAUAGCACAAAUACAGUGUGGCAUAAAUAUUGUUUGUUAUUCAUUGCAAAACAAAUCAUAAGUAAAUCUCCUGCAUAGGAGACAAAUAAUGUAAGUAAUACAGGGUGCAUAAAUCAUUUUAAAGAUAUUUUUACUAAAGUGCUUUGUUAUACAAUAUUCUUAUGCCACUUAUUCCAACAUAUAGUAAAAAGGCUGAAAAAAACAUUCAAAUGCAAAAAUAAAAUUUGCUGUUAGAAUUUG